CCUAGACCUAGAAGACAGAAGAAAUAGAGAAGUGCUUUUGGUUCAUAAAUUUUAUUGGGGCUUGCAAGAAACAGAGAAUACAGACAUGGCACACAUGUUGGGAAAACCAUACUUGACCCUCUUGGGUGUGGAGCUCUAUUCAUCUGGCUAAAACUCCUGGUACAGUAUUGAACUGAAAUAGUGGAAGCAGACAUCCUUGUCUUGUUCCUGAAAUUAAGGCAAGAGAGAAAAUCCAAAAUUCUUCAUUUGGGCCAGAACCAGAGUUGUUGACCCAGGUAUUUGAAACCCAUAAAUAAAAUUUUCUUAGGGGUCAAUUUGUUGGAAAUGACCAUA